AUAAAUUUGCAGAUUAAUGGAGGCAAGUGUGCAAGAGAUCUCCAGCGAUGUACAAUUAUAGCCGUUCGCCAGGAUUCUACGCAGAGAAGGAAGUAUCGUCAGAACGUAGAUCAUUGAAAGUAUUCAUCAAGAUUACAAAGAAAGGAAGUGUAGUCUGUCGUGGAUCUAGUAAGGGUCGGAAGGAAUUGUCAGUUGUAGAAUCGUCUAUGUAACAGUUCUCAUAAUUUGCAAUUAAUAAU
rnacentral:lncRNA from 1 species